UAAUAAUAAGAGUAAUGUAAGUAGAAAAUUAUGGGGGAACAUGGGGGGAAGGGGGAAAGAAAAUAAGAGAAGGAAAAGAGGAGGAAAAGGAAAGGAAAGGAGCUCACGGGUACAAUAAGGGAAGGAGGGACAAAAUCAUGAGGGAUGAAUUAGUAAGGAAGAAAAGAAAGAAAAAGAAGAAGAAGAAAAGAGGGAGAGAGAAAAGAAAGAAAGAAAAGGGAAGAGUACUCCCUCCCACCUUUAAUUUUCUUCCUAUUUCCUUCCUAUGCCAAUUUCAUCAGAAGAGUGAGAGAGGGAAGAGAAGAGAAGAAGAAGAAGAAGAUGGAACCAUGGAAGCAUGAAGGAAGAAUAAGAAAUCAAAAGGUAAAACCAAAACUUUUCAUCUCUUUAAUUUUUCUAAGAGUUUGAUUUGUUGAAUGUUGGGUUAUAGAGAAUCAUGAUGGAUCCAAAGUAAUAAUGAAGUAUAUGAUGAUUUUAUGUUUAUUCCAUUUCAUAAUCAAAUUUAAGACCAAAAAGUUAGGCAUGUGUUUGAGGAUGAAUAAAAGUUAUUUUGAGGACUUAAAUCAAACUUGUAAAAGUGUUGAUAGUUGAUUUAUGUGUAAUAUCCAAGGAGGAUGAUCUAUAGAUUAAGAAGUUAUGGAAAUAUUCCAAUUUGAAUGGACUAAAAAUGAUUUAAAUUGAAGUUGUGAUGAAAGUUUUCGUAAAACAUGUUAAACGAUGAAAAACUUAGUCUUGGGGGACUUUGGAGCCAAAUUUCAGAAUAAUUAAUAAAUCUAAAAAAUUAUGAAAUCAUGGGAAUUUUGUAGAGCAUGUUACAAGCUUUCCAUAGCCUCGAAAAAGGACUAAUUCCGAUAACGGAUGAAGAAGUUAUGAAGAUUUGAAGUAUGUGCGACAAAAGUUGCAAAAUCUGGAAAAUUGGAGUUAAGUGUCAAGGGUCGAGCGCCUAGGCGCUAGGCUCGGUGCUUAGAUUCUGUUCUUGGGCGCCUAGGCGCUUGCCCAAGGCCAAAUUUGGGCGCCUAGGCACUUGCCCAAGGCCAAAUUUGGGUGCCUAGGCGCUGGUCAAGUGUUAAGCCAAAAUCUAUCCGAACGUCCUUUAGUAAAUUCGGCAUAACGUUUUCAUAUGAACUCCGAUUGAGGUGAUUCAGGAUGAUUCGGAAAGAUAACGAGUAGACCUAAAAUUUUCAUUCUUUAUGUUUUGAGAUUUGAGGUCGGUAUCAAGUCCUAAAAUGGAUAUUUUAGGGACUGAUGUUCAUUCAGAGGCAAUCGAAGGACGUCGGACAUGCACGUAUGCAACGUGUAAUGUUUUCGAUGAUAAAGGAUGUUGUUCUAAGUUGUAAAACAUGAAAAUUAUUAAAUAUAAUGAUAUUAUGUGAUAAAUAAAGACAACUUGAAGGAAUAAUGAAUUAUUACUUGGUUUAUAUGUUUCGAGAUAAUUAUGAUUUGAUGUUAAUGAUCCUUACUUUUAAUAGAAUUUAAAUUUUUUAUAAGUAAGGUAUUGGUUUGAUUCUUACGUAAGAAGUCACUCAGUCUUUCAUUCAAUAAUUGUCACAGUAGUUAUUGCAUAGUGACUCAUAUUAUUUGAUAUGAUAUAAUUAUACCAGUUGGAAGUAUUGUGAGUCUAUGUUAAUAAUUGUGAAUAAUUGUUGAAAGAUUGAAAAUGUGUAAAUAAUUGAUGCAUAAAAGAUGUUGAUGAAAGAUAUGUAUGAUAUACAGGUGUUUGUUCAAUUAUUUUCUUUUUACAAAAAUAAAUUUGGCAAGACUUACCGACACUACUUUUUCUAAAGUAGAAUGGACCACAACUCUAUUAUUGAACAAAUUUUAUUAAAACGUGUACAAGUUGGUUCAAUUUUCUCUGUGAGACCAUAAAUUCCACCACUACCAUUAUUAUAUACCUCAUUUGGUUAUUUUGUCAAAGCAGGUGUGCUAGUUGUUUACUAAAUUUUUAGUAUAAAUAGGUUGCCCGGUUGAGCAACUAAACACUCACCAUCAUUAUAUUAAAAAUAUAAAAUUCUUUUACUACAAUAUUGUGAGUAUAAUAUUGUGAGUAUUUUUAUUGAGUGAAAUGUUACUCCAAGUGUAGAUAAGGAAUGCAAGUAUUGUUUAAAUUGAUCAAUUUCAUAGAAAGCAUAAUCAAGUCACAUGCUAAGGUAAGGGAUAUCAUUAUUGUGGUAAGAGGGUAUCAUUUUAUGGUAAAAAGAAUAUCAUUUUCUUUCAUUCUCCAUAUUAUGGUAAGAUAUUAUUAUUCAUUUAUUCAGUUUAUCAUUAAAUGGUGAAAAGUCCUAAAAGGAUUAGAAUAUCCUUAAUAGUUUGUGAUUCAUCUAUUAUUAUGUUAUCAAUUUGGACUAUGGAUAAUUAAGUUGAAAAUCACUAAGAUCUAUGUUAUUAUGAUGAUGUAAGUUUAUUCAUUAUAUAUAUAUAUAUAUAUAUAUAUAUAUAUAUAUAUAUCAUUGUCAUCAUUCUCAUGCUUAUAUUGUGUUGAAAGUCAUCUAUGGCCAGUAGUGCAUAGAUCGACUUGGUAUGAUUAUGACCAGAGAUUAUUCGGUAUAAUCAUGACCGUAAUUGAAAACACGAAUAUCCUUGGCCCGUAGUGCAUGGAUAAUUCGUGGUGGUGAUACUAUAAAGAUGAAUAUCAGCAUUAUUGGUUUUAUAGUUGUAUAUCUUUGGCCUGUAGUGCAAAGAUGGACUGUUAGUUAUUAGUUUUACAGUUGUAUAUCUUUGACCUGUAGUGCAAAGAUGGACUGUUGGUUAUUGGUUUUACAAUUGUAUAUCUUUGGCCUAUAGUGCAAAGAUGAACUGUUGGUUAUUGAUUUUACAGUUGUAUGUCUUAGGCAUGUAUUGCAAAGAUGGACUGUUGAUUUACCUGAUUAUAAAUAUGAAUUGUGAUUUAAUUAUAAUCUGUGGUGGUUCAGGUGAAGACAGGUGAUGAGAGUUCUCUUUGUCUUGGGUAUAACAAAGACGAACUAUUGAUGAGUAUUACAGGAAUGAAAUAUUAACGAUGGAUUUUUAAUCUAGAGGAUAUAGUAGACAUUAUGUUCUACUUGACUCUUCAAAUGGAUUGUCGAUUCCACUGCUAUUAUGGUUGAAAACUUUUAUCUUCUACCAUAUGUUCUAAAUAUCUGAGUUAUUAUUGAUGAAGGCUGUUGAUAAUUUAAUUAUCUUAAGUCAUGAUAUUCUUUACUGGGCUAUUUGUGCUCACCCUUUUACUUCACAACCCCUUUCAGGUAAUAAAAGUGUAGUUGAACUAGCAGAGAGAACAUUGGUAUAAAGUGGUGAUACGAAUUAGUCACAAGCCUAAUCAAAUUAUGAAGUGGUGUGGUUUAAUAAUUGUACUGAGAAUUUAAAAUAUGUGUGACAUAUUUUAUACAUCAUUUACUAAUUGAUUUUGGUGAACAACUAUAGGGUGAUGAGGACCCGACCUUGAAAGCGUAAAAAACGCACCGCAUUAAAAUGAAGAGAACAUAAAUCUUCUCGUGUUCCUUUGGAGACUUGAAAUAUUUGCGGUUGUACUUUAUAUAGCAUGUAAUAAUUUGAGUAUGAAUAUUGUCGUAUUAUAUACGUUACAAUAUUUGUAUUGAAACUCACAGUAUAUGUGUCGUCGUAUUUUGCACGACAGUUGUAUAAAUGAAGUUGUCAGUAGUGUAUUUUCUGGCGACUCAAGAUGGGUGAUGUAUACCUAUUUUGGGGGCGUCACAAUAUAUAUAUAUAUAUAUAUAUAUAUAUAUAUAUUAUACUUAUAUAUACAUAUUAAAUUCACC
rnacentral:lncRNA from 1 species